rnacentral:rRNA from 1 species
GCUUAACACAUGCAAGUCGAGGGGCAGCAUGAUCUUUGCUUGCUAAGGUUGAUGGCGACCGGCGCACGGGUGCGUAACGCGUAUGCAACUUGCCUUACAGAGGGGGAUAACCCGUUGAAAGACGGACUAAAACCGCAUACACUUGUAUUAUUGCAUGAUAUUACAAGGAAAUAUUUAUAGCUGUAAGAUAGGCAUGCGUCCCAUUAGCUGGUUGGUGAGGUAACGGCUCACCAAGGCGACGAUGGGUAGGGGAACUGAGAGGUUUAUCCCCCACACUGGUACUGAGACACGGACCAGACUCCUACGGGAGGCAGCAGUGAGGAAUAUUGGUCAAUGGGCGAUAGCCUGAACCAGCCAAGUCGCGUGAAGGAAGACAGUCCUAAGGAUUGUAAACUUCUUUUAUACGGGAAUAACGGGCGAUACGAGUAUUGCAUUGAAUGUACCGUAAGAAUAAGCAUCGGCUAACUCCGUGCCAGUAGCCGCGGUAAUACGGAGGAUGCGAGCGUUAUCCGGAUUUAUUGGGUUUAAAGGGUGCGUAGGUUGUUCGGUAAGUCAGCGGUGAAACCUGAGCGCUCAACGUUCAGCCUGCCGUUGAAACUGCCGGGCUUGAGUUCAGUGGCGGCAGGCGGAAUUCGUGGUGUAGCGGUGAAAUGCAUAGAUAUCACGAGGAACUCCGAUUGCGAAGGCAGCUUGCCAUACUGCGACUGACACUGAAGCACGAAGGCGUGGGUAUCAAACAGGAUUAGAUACCCUGGUAGUCCACGCAGUAAACGAUGAUUACUAGGAGUUUGCGAUAUACCGUCAAGCUUCCACAGCGAAAGCGUUAAGUAAUCCACCUGGGGAGUACGCCGGCAACGGUGAAACUCAAAGGAAUUGACGGGGGCCCGCACAAGCGGAGGAACAUGUGGUUUAAUUCGAUGAUACGCGAGGAACCUUACCCGGGAUUGAAAUGUAGAUGACGGAUGGUGAAAACCGUCUUCCCUUCGGGGCUUCUAUGUAGGUGCUGCAUGGUUGUCGUCAGCUCGUGCCGUGAGGUGUCGGCUUAAGUGCCAUAACGAGCGCAACCCACAUCGGUAGUUGCUAACAGUUUUCGCUGAGGACUCUACCGAGACUGCCGUCGUAAGGCGUGAGGAAGGUGUGGAUGACGUCAAAUCAGCACGGCCCUUACAUCCGGGGCGACACACGUGUUACAAUGGGAGGGACAAAGGGCAGCUACCGGGCGACCGGAUGCGAAUCUCUAAACCCUUCCCCAGUUCGGAUCGGAGUCUGCAACUCGACUCCGUGAAGCUGGAUUCGCUAGUAAUCGCGCAUCAGCCAUGGCGCGGUGAAUACGUUCCCGGGCCUUGUACACACCGCCCGUCAAGCCAUGGGAGUCGGGGGUACCUGAAGGGCGUAACCGCAAGGGGCGCACUAGGGUAAUACCGG